UCCUCCCUCUUUCUUCGUGCUUAACACAUGCAAGUCGAACGGAAAGGCCUUUUCGGAGGUACUCGAGUGGCGAACGGGUGAGUAACACGUGGGUGAUCUGCUCUGCACUCUGGGAUAAGCCUGGGAAACUGGGUCUAAUACCGGAUAGGACCGCACUUUAGUGUGUGUGGUGGAAAGUUUUUUCGGUGUAGGAUGAGCCCGCGGCCUAUCAGCUUGUUGGUGGGGUAAUGGCCUACCAAGGCGGCGACGGGUCGCCGGACUGAGAGGUUGGUCGGCCACAUUGGGACUGAGAUACGGCCCAGACUCCUACGGGAGGCAGCAGUGGGGAAUAUUGCACAAUGGGCGCAAGCCUGAUGCAGCGACGCCGCGUGGGGGAUGACGGCCUUCGGGUUGUAAACUCCUUUCGCCAGGGACGAAGCGUUUUGUGACGGUACCUGGAGAAGAAGCACCGGCUAACUACGUG
rnacentral:rRNA from 1 species